rnacentral:rRNA from 1 species
GACGAACGCUGGCGGCGUGCUUAACACAUGCAAGUGGAGCGACGAACCGGGGCUUGCCCCGGGGCAGAGCCGCGAACGGGUGAGUAACACGUGGGUAACCUGCCUCAAUGAUUGGGACAACCCGGGGAAACUCGGGCUAAUACCAAAUGUGUUCACUCCUUCUAAGGGGAGUGAGGAAAGGAAGCUUCGGCCUCCGCAUUGAGAUGGGCCCGCGGCCCAUUAGCUUGUUGGUGAGGUAACGGCUCACCAAGGCUUCGAUGGGUAGCUGGUCUGAGAGGACGAUCAGCCACACUGGGACUGAGACACGGCCCAGACUCCUACGGGAGGCAGCAGUGGGGAAUCUUGCACAAUGCGCGAAAGCGUGAUGCAGCAACGCCGCGUGGGGGAAGACGG